GAAACAGCAGCCGAGUGGGGUACCUACAGCCGGAGCGGCAGGAAGAGGAGGGGCCUGCGGGCAGGGGGCCGGGCCGCCUCUUGCCGGCCGCGGAAUUCUGCACCGGCCCGGCCCGAGCAGGUUCCUCGGAGUUCCUUACGAGCAUACUGAGAAAACAGGACUUAACUGGCUGCAGUACCUUCACCCAGUUUGGAAACUAUGAGCUACUUCACUACAGGAAAGACACUGAGUUUUUUGCCCUCCUUCAGUGGAUUGCUCUACCAUUAACUUCCCCAGCCUCUGUGAAACUACAUCAACUCCAGCCCUUGGCAAGUAGUACUGUAGGUCCACUGCCGUUUUUAGGAAGCAUCCUCUUGGCACGUGUUGAAGUUGAGGCUGAUUAGCUCCAGUUGCCACCACCCUUGCUCUUCUUGCUCUUGCAUGAGGAAGGUGAACCAUGAGUUCCAGCACAUGCUCUCUGCCCUGCUCCCGACUGUCUUCCUCUAUAGGAGCCUCUGAGUGGGAUGUUCAGAGCGGAACCUUUUCAGAUCUCCCCGACCACUGCAUUACUGACCUGCUGAAGAAGCACCUAGGCCUCUGGGAGGAAGGCAACACUGAGUGACAGCAGCCUUUCUUGACUGGAUGCUGCAGGGAACGGGACUGGCUGUGCCAGAGUGCCUCACAGAAGUCUUUGUAUUGUUUCCUCUACUAUCUGCCAGGGACAGGUUUGAUAGAUUUUUCUCAUAUGUAAUAUGAUCAUUUAAAAUCAUUGCAUAAUAAUAUAUGUCCAUCUAAAGCUUACUUCAUUUUAGAAGGUAUUAGAUACGAAUCCCUACCAGUGACAAUUGUUUCCUUUUUUUUCUUAAUAUGCACUUUCCACAAUAUUUUUCAUUUAACUGUCUUAACUUUUUGACCAAAUAAGAAACCUAUUUUAUGGGCUCACUAAUUUGAGACUAAAUAGGAUGAAACUGAAGAUACUAUCCGAUAACCUUUGUAAAUGUUUGCUUUGUAUGUUUCUCAGGAAGCUUCACAAGCCAAUUAUUUCAGUUUCCAUAGUGAGCCCGUUUUGAUGUCUUCGCCAUUCAACACACAUCCUGUUAAGAGUUGUCAUUAACUCUGUUGUCUUCUUUGUUCUGUAUGGUGUCAAGCACUUUGACAGCGUCCAAAUCAAUACUAAGUAACAAUGGAUGUUUUUUUAGCCUUAAUUCCAGGUUUAGCUAUCACGGAUGAAACUGUCAACAGAUCAGAAGAAUGCAGGAGCUUUUUCUUUCCUUGGUGGUUUCAGGAGGCUUAGCAUCUGUGCUAUCCAGACUGGCUUUUAGCAUUUGGUCCAGAAACCUCUAUGUCCUGCUAUAAAACAUAAUUUUUUCUGAGAGCAGGAAAGGCCACAGUUAUUAUUAAAUGCCUGAAGUAAACAGUUAACAUCAUUCACACUUGAGAUUUGUUUUAAUGCAGUAGAAUAUAUUCAAUGGAAUGGUGGAAAGUAUUCUACAAGCACUGAAGUACCAAAAGAAUAUAAUUUCAAAUGAAAAGCAAUACUAAUCCUGAUGGAUUAGAACCAUAAAUUAUGUAUUUUUAAAACACCAGCAUUCUCAGAAACAAUCAAGCAUACGGCUGUAAGCACACCUCUAUUUAUGCCACCUAUAUCUGCCUCCUUUUAUACCUUUAUUCCUGGUCUGAGACAUGUGGAAUGAGACAAUACUUGUCUACCAGAGAGGUAGAAAAGCAGCAAAGGAUUUUUUGCCUCCAUCAGCAGAUUCAUCUUUGCUUCCGCCUGGAGCAGAUGAUGCCUUUAGAAGUUGCCAGCAGCUGGAGGCAGGGCAUAGCUGAUCAAUACCAGGCCUGGGCCUGCUGUGCUCCUGUUACUUGUGUAUUUUCUGGUGAGCAGCUGGUAGGAGAUGCUUGGUCAAAAGUCCACUGAGGUGUGUCUGGCUGAGCUUCAGGUAAACUGGUGUUUCAAGGGGACAUCCAUGUAUUUAAUAUUGUCAGGUCAGCAUCUCACAUUCUUCUUAGAAGCUGUUAAGCCUAAAACUUUUUUCUUUUUUUUUAAAUAACUGAAACUCUAAGGUGAAGAGGUGACUCCUGAACACCUUAGAAUGGGUUUGUGUAUUUUUUGUUGCUCUAUCUGCAUAUGCAAGAAGACAAUGUUUCCCUUCUGGGCUUGAUCAAAAGGGAAAAUUCUAGUAGAAGCGCAGCUGUGUGUUCUCUCCACCAGCAGUUCUGCAGAACUUCUGAGGUGGGCAGAGAGGAUCUCUAGUGGUUCUGGCUCACUUGUCUUCUCUUUUAUUUUCCAGUUUCCAGUCCCACGUAUUCAGACCAAGACUACCUAGAAGAUUUGUCCCCAAGAGGUAAGAUCAGUGGGCAAAUCCCAGAGCAUGUUUUGUAUCACAAGUAAAUAAAAAUUAAGCUAACCAUUCAUUUUCACUUUAUAUUUAUUAUUAGGAGAUACAUGCUUGGUAAGGUUUUACAGUUUUCCCCCUAUUGCUAAAGGUGCUGCAUUUUUCUUCUAAACAAUUAAACCACAUGGUUUUAGGAUUGUUGACAGAGAAAAAAGGCUGCAUUUGUAGUGUCAUCAAGAGCACACUUCCAGUAUCAGUGACCCUUCUUGGCAGAUUCUAAUUCAGGAACCUGGCAAGGAAGCUGACUCAGAGAUAAUAAGGAGUAAAAAGGUUGUAAAGAUGAACUACAAACCAAAAGCAAGGAAGAGCUAAAUCCACUGUGGUGGGCUGAAUUUCUCUUAGCAUUCUGUAGUAGUCUGUAAUAACAGCCACGUUUUUACUUACCUUUUAUAGCCCUUUUUUUUUUUUUUUCCACAAAACCUAGGUGCUUAUCAGUUUGUGUAAGAAUCUCAUUUAAUUUUUGAACAAAGAAUAAAAAUUGUCUCAACUUAUUACAACUGCUUGACUCGAAAAUAUUGUAAAUGUUGAGUGGCUAGUCCCCCAAAUAUUCACAAAGUAAAGAGUAUGUUUUAUAAAAAUCAUCUUGAGAUAACUAUUCUAAAAGAGUGAUUCUGGGGUAAUGAAAUAAAACUACAAAAUAAAUUUCAUUGGUGGACAUAAAGAAAAAAAUAAAGUUUUCUGCUGUUAUCAAAAA